UUGAACGCUGGCGGCAGGCCUAACACAUGCAAGUCGAGCGGUAACACAGAGAGCUUGCUCUCGGGUGACGAGCGGCGGACGGGUGAGUAAUGUCUGGGAAACUGCCUGAUGGAGGGGGAUAACUACUGGAAACGGUAGCUAAUACCGCAUAACGUCGCAAGACCAAAGUGGGGGACCUUCGGGCCUCAUGCCAUCAGAUGUGCCCAGAUGGGAUUAGCUAGUAGGUGGGGUAACGGCUCACCUAGGCGACGAUCCCUAGCUGGUCUGAGAGGAUGACCAGCCACACUGGAACUGAGACACGGUCCAGACUCCUACGGGAGGCAGCAGUGGGGAAUAUUGCACAAUGGGCGCAAGCCUGAUGCAGCCAUGCCGCGUGUGUGAAGAAGGCCUUCGGGUUGUAAAGCACUUUCAGCGGGGAGGAAGGCGGUGAGGUUAAUAACCUCAUCGAUUGACGUUACCCGCAGAAGAAGCACCGGCUAACUCCGUGCCAGCAGCCGCGGUAAUACGGAUGGUGCAAGCGUUAAUCGGAAUUACUGGGCGUAAAGCGCACGCAGGCGGUCUGUCAAGUCGGAUGUGAAAUCCCCGGGCUCAACCUGGGAACUGCAUUCGAAACUGGCAGGCUAGAGUCUUGUAGAGGGGGGUAGAAUUCCAGGUGUAGCGGUGAAAUGCGUAGAGAUCUGGAGGAAUACCGGUGGCGAAGGCGGCCCCCUGGACAAAGACUGACGCUCAGGUGCGAAAGCGUGGGGAGCAAACAGGAUUAGAUACCCUGGUAGUCCACGCCGUAAACGAUGUCGAUUUGGAGGUUGUGCCCUUGAGGCGUGGCUUCCGGAGCUAACGCGUUAAAUCGACCGCCUGGGGAGUACGGCCGCAAGGUUAAAACUCAAAUGAAUUGACGGGGGCCCGCACAAGCGGUGGAGCAUGUGGUUUAAUUCGAUGCAACGCGAAGAACCUUACCUGGUCUUGACAUCCACAGAACUUUCCAGAGAUGGAUUGGUGCCUUCGGGAACUGUGAGACAGGUGCUGCAUGGCUGUCGUCAGCUCGUGUUGUGAAAUGUUGGGUUAAGUCCCGCAACGAGCGCAACCCUUAUCCUUUGUUGCCAGCGGUUAGGCCGGGAACUCAAAGGAGACUGCCAGUGAUAAACUGGAGGAAGGUGGGGAUGACGUCAAGUCAUCAUGGCCCUUACGACCAGGGCUACACACGUGCUACAAUGGCAUAUACAAAGAGAAGCGACCUCGCGAGAGCAAGCGGACCUCAUAAAGUAUGUCGUAGUCCGGAUUGGAGUCUGCAACUCGACUCCAUGAAGUCGGAAUCGCUAGUAAUCGUAGAUCAGAAUGCUACGGUGAAUACGUUCCCGGGCCUUGUACACACCGCCCGUCACACCAUGGGAGUGGGUUGCAAAAGAAGUAGGUAGCUUAACCUUCGGGAGGGCGCUUACCACUUUGUGAUUCAUGACUGGGGUG
rnacentral:rRNA from 1 species